UACGUAGGUCCCGAGCGUUGUCCGGAUUUAUUGGGCGUAAAGGGAGCGUAGACGGUAAUGUAAGUCUGGAGUGAAAGGCGGGGGCCCAACCCCCGGACUGCUCUGGAAACUAUGUUACUAGAGUGCAGGAGAGGUAAGCGGAAUUCCUAGUGUAGCGGUGAAAUGCGUAGAUAUUAGGAGGAACACCAGUGGCGAAGGCGGCUUACUGGACUGUAACUGACGUUGAGGCUCGAAAGCGUGGGGAGCAAACAGG
rnacentral:rRNA from 1 species